rnacentral:rRNA from 1 species
AGAGUUUGAUCAUGGCUCAGGAUGAACGCUGGCGGCGUGCCUAACACAUGCAAGUCGAACGGAAUUUACAUGAAGCCUAGCGAUUGUAAAUUUAGUGGCGGACGGGUGAGUAACGCGUGGGUAACCUGCCUUGUACUGGGGGACAACAGUUGGAAACGACUGCUAAUACCGCAUAAGCGCACAGUGCCGCAUGGUACGGUGUGAAAAACUCCGGUGGUACAAGAUGGACCCGCGUCUGAUUAGCUAGUUGGUGAGGUAACGGCCACCAAGGCGACGAUCAGUAGCCGACUUGAGAGAGUGAUCGGCCACAUUGGGACUGAGACACGGCCCAAACUCCUACGGGAGGA